rnacentral:rRNA from 1 species
UGGGGAAUAUUGGACAAUGGAGGAAACUCUGAUCCAGCAAUUCUGUGUGUGUGAAGAAGGUUUUAGGACUGUAAAACACUUUUAGUAGGGAAGAAAAAAAUGACGGUACCUACAGAAGAAGCAACGGCUAAAUACGUGCCAGCAGCCGCGGUAAUACGUAUGUUGCGAGCGUUAUCCAGAAUUAUUGGGCUUAAAGGGCAUCUAGGCGGUAAGACAAGUUGAAGGUGAAAACCUGUGGCUCAACCAUAGGCUUGCCUACAAAACUGUUGAACUAGAGUACUGGAAAGGUGGGUGGAACUACACGAGUAGAGGUGAAAUUCGUAGAUAUGUGUAGGAAUGCCGAUGAUGAAGAUAACUCACUGGACAGAAACUGACGCUGAAGUGCGAAAGCUAGGGGAGCAAACAGG